UCCCGACUCGAUCCUCUCGCCUCUUUGGU
rnacentral:piRNA from 1 species